AUGGCUCAGGAUGAACGCUAGCUACAGGCUUAACACAUGCAAGUCGAGGGGCAGCAUGUUGGUUGCUUGCAACCAACGAUGGCGACCGGCGCACGGGUGAGUAACGCGUAUCCAACCUGCCCUUGUCCAUCGGAUAACCCGUCGAAAGGCGGCCUAACACGAUAUGCGGUUCUCAGCAGGCAUCUAACGAGAACGAAAUGUGAAGGAGAAGGAUGGGGAUGCGUCUGAUUAGCUUGUUGGCGGGGUAACGGCCCACCAAGGCGACGAUCAGUAGGGGUUCUGAGAGGAAGGUCCCCCACAUUGGAACUGAGACACGGUCCAAACUCCUACGGGAGGCAGCAGUGAGGAAUAUUGGUCAAUGGACGAGAGUCUGAACCAGCCAAGUAGCGUGCAGGAUGACGGCCCUAUGGGUUGUAAACUGCUUUUAUAGGGGGAUAAAGUGUGCCACGUGUGGCAUAUUGCAGGUACCCUAUGAAUAAGGACCGGCUAAUUCCGUGCCAGCAGCCGCGGUAAUACGGAAGGUCCAGGCGUUAUCCGGAUUUAUUGGGUUUAAAGGGAGCGUAGGCCGUUUGGUAAGCGUGUUGUGGAAUGUCGGGGCUCAACCUGGGCAUUGCAGCGCGAACUGUCAGACUUGAGUGCGCAGGAAGUAGGCGGAAUUCGUCGUGUAGCGGUGAAAUGCUUAGAUAUGACGAAGAACUCCGAUUGCGAAGGCAGCCUGCUGUAGCGCAACUGACGCUGAAGCUCGAAAGCGUGGGUAUCGAACAGGAUUAGAUACCCUGGUAGUCCACGCGGUAAACGAUGGAUGCUCGCUGUUUGCGUCUGACGUAAGCGGCCAAGCGAAAGCGUUAAGCAUCCCACCUGGGGAGUACGCCGGCAACGA
rnacentral:rRNA from 1 species